UACGUAGGGGGCUAGCGUUGUCCGGAAUCAUUGGGCGUAAAGCGCGUGUAGGCGGCCCGGUAAGUCCGCUGUGAAAGUCGGGGGCUCAACCCUCGAAAGCCGGUGGAUACUGUCGGGCUAGAGUACGGAAGAGGCGAGUGGAAUACCCAGUGUAGAGGUGAAAUUCGUAGAUAUUGGGUGGAACACCGGUGGCGAAAGCGGCUCUCUGGUCCGGACCUGACGCUGAGGCGCGAAAGCGUGGGGAGCAAACAGG
rnacentral:rRNA from 1 species